rnacentral:rRNA from 1 species
UACGUAGGGAGCAAGCGUUGUCCGGAAUUAUUGGGCGUAAAGAGCUCGUAGGCGGUGUGUCGCGUCGGCCGUGAAAACCUGCAGCUUAACUGUGGGCUUGCGGUCGAUACGGGCAUCACUGGAGUUCGGCAGGGGAGACUGGAAUUCCUGGUGUAGCGGUGAAAUGCGCAGAUAUCAGGAGGAACACCGGUGGCGAAGGCGGGUCUCGUGGGCCGAUACUGACGCUGAGGAGCGAAAGCGUGGGGAGCGAACAGG